rnacentral:rRNA from 1 species
UACGGAGGAUCCAAGCGUUGUCCGGAUUUAUUGGGUUUAAAGGGUGCGUAGGCGGAUAAUUAAGUCAGUGGUGAAAUCUUGCGGCUCAACCGUAAAAUUGCCAUUGAGACUGAUUAUCUCGAGUACAGUUGAGGUGGGCGGAAUGUAUCAUGUAGCGGUGAAAUGCUUAGAUAUGAUACAGAACACCUAUUGCGAAAGCAGCUCACUAAACUGUCACUGACGCUGAGGCACGAAAGCGUGGGGAUCAAACAGG